rfam:Aphanomyces astaci strain APO3 cont1.1340, whole genome shotgun sequence.
ACCGGGCUGAGUGGCUUCAGCUUGUAACCGCAAGUUUCUGGCGGGGUAGGGUUCUUUGAGGGAGAGGUCACUAUUGUGAGGGAUCUAUUCACGGCAUGUGGAUGGGGGGCCCAUUCCAAACCAGGAGUGAACAUUGUGGAAUAUCCGGAAGGAAAGCCACGAGGUUCUUAAAGAGAGGUGCAACGCCUCAGGCUGGUCACAGAGCAGGGAAAAGCUUCCGCUCUUGGUAGUGGAAGGAUCACAACCCAGAAUGCCGAUGGUGUCUCACAAUGGAAUAAGGCGUCUUUCGAAUGGAAUCUGC